rnacentral:tRNA from 1 species
GAGAUGUUAGUAAAACAAUUACAUAGCCUUGUCAAGACUAAAUUACGGAUGAAAUCUCCGUACAUCUCA